rnacentral:rRNA from 1 species
UGGCUGUCGUCACCUCGUGUCGUGAGAUGUUGGGUUAAGUCCCGUAACGAGCGCAACCCUUGUCCUUAGUUACCAGCACCUCGGGUGGGCACUCUAAGGAGACUGCCGGUGACAAACCGGAGGAAGGUGGGGAUGACGUCAAGUCAUCAUGGCCCUUACGGCCAGGGCUACACACGUGCUACAAUGGUCGGUACAGAGGGUUGCCAAGCCGCGAGGUGGAGCUAAUCUCACAAAACCGAUCGUAGUCCGGAUCGCAGUCUGCAACUCGACUGCGUGAAGUCGGAAUCGCUAGUAAUCGUGAAUCAG